rnacentral:rRNA from 1 species
GACGAACCGUGCGAACGUUGUUCGGAAUCACUGGGCUUAAAGGGCGCGUAGGCGGCUCGCGAGGUCGGGGGUGAAAUCCCACGGCUUAACCGUGGAAGGGCCUUCGAUACCGGCGGGCUCGAGGAAGGUAGGGGUGCGCGGAACUUCUGGUGGAGCGGUGAAAUGCGUUGAUAUCAGAAGGAACGCCGGCGGCGAAAGCGGCGCACUGGAUCUUUUCUGACGCUGAGGCGCGAAAGCCAGGGGAGCAAACGGG